rnacentral:rRNA from 1 species
CGCGCAGGCGGUCUUUUAAGUCAGAUGUGAAAGCCCGGGGCUCAACCCCGGAAGUGCAUUUGAAACUAAGGGACUUGAGUAUGGGAGAGGGAAGUGGAAUUCCUGGUGUAGCGGUGAAAUGCGUAGAUAUCAGGAGGAACACCGGUGGCGAAGGCGACUUCCUGGACCAAUACUGACGCUGAGGCGCGAAGGCGUGGGGAGCAAACA